rnacentral:rRNA from 1 species
CCUACGGGUGGCAGCAGUGAGGAAUAUUGGUCAAUGGGCGCGAGCCUGAACCAGCCAAGUAGCGUGAAGGAUGACUGCCCUACGGGUUGUAAACUUCUUUUAUAAAGGAAUAAAGUGAGGCACGUGUGCCUUUUUGUAUGUACUUUAUGAAUAAGGAUCGGCUAACUCCGUGCCAGCAGCCGCGGUAAUACGGAGGGUGCAAGCGUUAUCCGGAUUUAAUGGGUGUAAAGGGGGCGCAGAGGGGGAUGAAAGCCAGGUGUGAAAGACCGGGGCGCAACCCGGGGACUGCGGUUGGAACUGGGUGGCGGGAGGGGAGGAGGGGCAGGCGGAGUUCGUGGUGUAGCGGUGAAAUGGGUAGAU